rnacentral:lncRNA from 1 species
GUCUUUAUAUUUGCAUUCAUCCCCUUUUAGCAGCAUUAAAAUGCCAAUUUAUUACAUAUUUAAAGUGUUCAUUUCUUGAUAUUUAAAGGCUUUCCAAGCUAGCUAAUUGUUAAGAUUAAAUGCCAGGCUCUUUUCCCUCUUCUUUGCCGAAGUAAAUUUAAUUCUCACACAUACACACACUUUCUUUUAUACUGAGAAUAACUUAUACCUCACAGUGACCUGAAGCAGGCUGAAAUUCCUUCAAACAGAAAGCAAGUGAAUUUCUAUAACCCUAUGCCUUUAGGCAGGCUUCUCAGGAUCUAGAGAACACUGCCAGCUCCCUCCCCUACUUGGAAUGAGGCAUAGAAUGUAGUUUGGUAGUUUACUACAAAAGCAAAUGCCCAAUUGUCCUCUGGUGUUCAAUCUCCAGGCCUGAAUUCUAAUGCCUACGUAAACAGGGAAAAUUUCUAUUUUUGAUGUUUUGUACUAAUGAAAUAAUAUUCCAAAUUAGUCACCCUUUAAAAUGAUCUCAAAUGGCCACUAGAUCCCAUUAGUACAGAACAUCCUUUUGCAGCAAUAGACGUAAGAGAUACUAUAAUAUUCGGGAAGUGGUGAAAAAUAAAAUUUCAUUCUAUUUCCCUGGGGUAGUAAUCCUUGGGACAACUCUACACAGAGACACUGGGGUAAUCCUCAUAAAUCACUGCUGCAAUCCUGUACUUCUUUGUUUAAGAAAUUUCAAUUGCUUCUGCCCAAUUUGCUUAGAACAGUAAUCUCUAGAAUUUUUAAUCACACAAUUCUGAUUAAGAAAAAAAAAUAUUGAACAUAUACUCAUGCAUCUUUACCUCUGUAUUAUAUCCAGGUAGCUACUAGAUGUGUACACUAUACGUUUUACCAUAUAUUUUUUAUGUUUUAUAAAAUGCAUUUUAAAGACCUGUUUUUAUAUUUGCUUCCUCAUUGGUUUAUCAUUUGCAAAUAGGACAUACCUCAUGUUUGGAGAUCACUGGCUUAGAGAAUGAGUCCAAACCCUGCAUCCUUGUUUUGUACAACCUGAUGAUGGCUCUUCCUUUCUUUUCUACUCAUAUUAUAUUUGCAACACAAUUGUUGAAGAUAUCAAUAUUUUUUCUACUUAUAAUAUUUUUAUUAAAAUUGUUUGAAUAGUUCAUAUAUUAAAAAAAUACUGUACAUAAAAAACUACUCAGCCAUAAAAAAGAAAGAAAUAAUGCCAUUUGUAGCAAUAUGGAUGGACCUAGAGAUUAUCAGACCAAGUGAGGUAAAUCAGAAAAAGAAAGACAAAUCACCAAAAUAUCACUCAUAUGUGGAAUCUAAAUAUGAUACAAAUAAACUUAUUUAUAAAAAAAGAAUCAGACUCACAGAUAUAGAAAACAAAUUUAUGGUCACCAAAGAGGAAAGGGGAUGUGGGAGGGAUAUAUUAGGAGUUAGGUAUUAGCAGAUACAAACAGCUAUAUAUAAAAUAAACUUCAGGGUCCUACUGUAUAGAAUAGGGAACUAUAUUUAAUAUUAUGAAAUAAACCAUUGGAAGAGAAUAUGAAAAAUAAUAUGUAUGUGUAUAUAUAUAGAGAGAGAACUGAAUCACUCUGCUAUAAACCUCAAUCUGAUGCAACAUUGUACUGUAAUUCAGUAAAAAAAAAUGUCAACUAAAAAAGUAAUUUGAGGAAGUUCCCAUUGUGGCUCAGCCCAUGAGGAUCAAGUUCAAUCCCUGGCCUUGCUCAGUGGGUUAAGGAUCUGGUGUUGCCAUGAGCUGUGGCAUAGGUCAUAGAUGCAGCUCGAAUCCUGAGUUGCUCUGGUGUAGGCCUGUAGCUGUAGCUUGGAUUUAAUCUCUAGCCUUGGAACUUCCAUAUGCUGCACUUGCAGCCCUGUAACGAAAAAAAUGAAAAUGAUUAGUACAAAAGGAUCAUGGACAAAAUUUAUACUCUCACCUUAAGUAACUAGAAAUCUGAACAAAAUAUAAGGAACAGUGGUUUUCAGACAUUGCACAAUGGCCAGAUGAGUACACUAAUCCCUGAGAAAAAGCAAGCAAUUGAAAGGAACCCUAAACAUGCCUCACUUCACUCUCUAGAGAGUUUUCAGGAAUGUGAUGGGACUAGAGAACCCAUUAAGAGACUCAGUUUCCCUGAUUUAAGCAAUCAAGAGUUCAGCAUUCAGGAAAGUCUAGGAUUUUCAGAAAGAAAGAGACAGAGACAGAGAGAAUACUGUGAAUGCAUUCAGAAGAGUCCCUUUGAGUUUUUUUGCAAAGUACUUAUUUACACUUGCAUGUGAGGUAAAUACUUUAGGGAAUCAGCCACCAGAAAAGCUUUGAAAGAUUAAACCACAGAGAUCACAUCAUGCUGGGAGUGAUUUGUGUUCCAGCAAGCCAGAAUGGAACAAACUCUUAAUACACAGGGCAUGGGGUAGAAUCCUCAAAGGAGUUACUUCAGUAUUAGAGACACAUUAGCCACAGGUUGAAGGGUGUUCUGGACCUAUGCUUGGAAAACUUAAAAACUUCAAAAGGAUAAAACUCAUUCCAAGCAAAUUGGUGGAAUAGCAGAACAAUGCCUAAUAGUUGUAUAAAGGAUUAAUAAAAUACAGCUAUCAACAAUGUCAAAUCAUAUGUCCAAUAUUAAAUAAAAAAAUUUUAGUCAUGCAAAUAGCAGAGAAUGGGCCCUAUAUUCAGAAGAAAAAUCAAUAAAUAGAAACAGACUCAGAGAUGACAAAGAUGACAGAAUUAAAAAUAAGAACAUUAAAACAACUGCCUUAGCCAUUUAAGGCAGAUCUAUCAGAAUACCAUAGAUGGGUGGCUUAAACAACAAGAAACAUUUAUUUCUCACAGUUUAGGAGGCUGGGAAGUCUAAGAUCAAGGUGCAGCCAUAUACAGCAUCUGUUUAGGGUACUGUUUCUUUUUUUUUUUCUUUUUUCUUUUGGUCCUUUUAUGGCUACGCCAGCAGCAUGUGGAGGUUCCCAGGCUAGGGGUCAAAUCAGAGCUGCACCUGCCAGCCACAACCCCAGCCAUGUGGGAUCCAAGCCACAUGUGUGACCUACACAACAACACAUGGCAAUGCCAGAUCCUUAACCCACUGAGCGAGGCCAAGGAUUGAACCCUUAUGGAUACUAGUCAGGUUUGUUAACUGCUGAGCCACAACUGGAACUCCAAGGGCACUCUAUCACACUGAGAGGUAAGGAUUUCAACAUAGAGAGGGAGAUACAAAUAUUCAGUCUGUAACAACAGCUAUUAUAAAUAUACUUUAUAUGGUCAAGGAGAUAGAGGAAAAAUGUGACACAUUAAAAUAAUGAAUGAGCAAUAUAAAAAAUAUCCAAAUAUAAUAUCUAGCAAUAAAUAGUAUAAUGCAUGAAGGAAAGAUUAGGAUCUUAGAAUGGAAGGAAGAACAUCAGAAAUGGUAUCUAAGUGUACAGAAGACCUUUCUUUUCUCAUUUGCAAUCUCAUUAAAAGUUAAUCAUUUAAAAAUUAUUAGCCAUUAAGUGUUAUUUUUGACAGUAAAUCUAAAUUCCAGAUUAUUAAGUGUUUUUUUUAGAAAAAGAUUUGUUGUUGCUAAUUGAUAAUGGCAAAAUCAACUAAAUUUAAGAACUUUUGCUUAAAAUUGAUAUUUCAUUACCAUAGCUUUAUUUAUUUUAUAUAAUAAGAAAUUACUCUGUGAUAUAUCAUUUGAAGUAAGGGUUCUGUUGCC